rnacentral:rRNA from 1 species
GACGUAGGGAGCGAGCGUUGUCCGGAUUCAUUGGGCGUAAAGAGCGCGUAGGCGGCCGUGCAAGUCGGUUGUGAAAUCCCGGGGCUCAACCCCGGGACUGCGUCCGAUACUGCACGGCUCGAGGCAGGUAGGGGAGAGUGGAAUUCCCGGUGUAGCGGUGAAAUGCGCAGAUAUCGGGAGGAACACCGGUGGCGAAGGCGGCUCUCUGGACCGUAACUGACGCUGAGACGCGAAAGCGUGGGGAGCAAACAGG